GAGAAUGUGACGCAGUGGUAGCGUGUUGGCUUGUCGCGCCAAAGGCCGCGAGUUCAAAUCUCGUCAUUCUCG
rnacentral:tRNA from 1 species